rnacentral:rRNA from 1 species
ACCAGGACGUUGAUAGGUCAGGUGUGGAAGCGCAGUAAUGCGUUAAGCUAACUGAUACUAAUUGCUCGUGCGGCUUGACCCUAUAACUUUG